CAGCAGCCGCGGGAAUACGAAGGGUGCAAGCGUUACUCGGAAUUACUGGGCGUAAAGCGUGCGUAGGUGGUGGUUUAAGUCCGUUGUGAAAGCCCUGGGCUCAACCUGGGAAUUGCAGUGGAUACUGGGUCACUAGAGUGUGGUAGAGGAUAGUGGAAUUUCCGGUGUAGCAGUGAAAUGCGUAGAGAUCGGAAGGAACAUCUGUGGCGAAGGCGACUAUCUGGGCCAACACUGACACUGAGGCACGAAAGCGUGGGGACCAAACAGGAUUAGAUACCCCAGUAGUCCCUGUCUCUUAUAC
rnacentral:rRNA from 1 species